UACAGAGGGUGCAAGCGUUAAUCGGAAUUACUGGGCGUAAAGCGCGCGUAGGUGGUUUGUUAAGUUGGAUGUGAAAUCCCCGGGCUCAACCUGGGAACUGCAUCCAAAACUGGCAAGCUAGAGUAUGGUAGAGGGUGGUGGAAUUUCCUGUGUAGCGGUGAAAUGCGUAGAAUAUAGGAAGGAACACCAGUGGUGAAGGCGACCACCUGGACUGAUACUGACAUGAGGUGCGAAAGCGUGGG
rnacentral:rRNA from 1 species